UCCAGACUCCUACGGGAGGCAGCAGUGGGGGAUAUUGCACAAUGGGGGAAACCCUGAUGCAGCGACGCCGCGUGGGUGAAGAAGUAUUUCGGUAUGUAAAGCCCUAUCAGCAGGGAAGAAAGAAGACGGUACCUGACUAAGAAGCCCCGGCUAACUACGUGCCAGCAGCCGCGGUAAUACGUAGGGGGCGAGCGUUAUCCGGAUUCACUGGGUGUAAAGGGAGCGUAGACGGCCGUGCAAGCCAGGAGUGAAAGCCCGGGGCCCAACCCCGGGACUGCUCUUGGAACUGUGCGGCUGGAGUGCGGGAGGGGCAGGCGGAAUUCCUGGUGUAGCGGUGAAAUGCGUAGAUAUCAGGAGGAACACCGGCGGCGAAGGCGGCCUGCUGGACCGCGACUGACGUUGAGGCUCGAAAGCGUGGGGAGCGAACAGGAUUAGAUACCCUUGUA
rnacentral:rRNA from 1 species